GAUAAGAACGCAGCGAAAUGCGAUAAGUAAUGCGAAUUGCAGAAUUCAGUGAGUCAUCGAAUCUUUGAACGCACAUUGCGCCCUGUGGUAUUCCGCAGGGCAUGCCUGUUCGAGCGUCAUUUCAACCCUCAAGCCCCGCUUGGUGUUGGGCCCCGCCCGCUGUGGCCGGCCCUAAAGACAGUGGCGGCGCCGCCUGGCCCUCAGCGUAGUACAUCUCUCGCUCCAGGGUCCGGUGGCCGCCUGCCAGAACCCCCCAACUCUGUGGUUGACCUCGGAUCAGGUAGGGAUACCCGCUGAACUUAAGCAUAUCAUAAGCGGAGGA
rnacentral:misc_RNA from 1 species